rnacentral:rRNA from 1 species
CAUCGGUGACAGGUGGUGCAUGGUUGUCGUCAGCUCGUGUCGUGAGAUGUUGGGUUAAGUCCCGCAACGAGCGCAACCCCUAUUGUUAGUUGCCAUCAUUCAGUUGGGCACUCUAGCGAGACUGCCGGUAAUAAACCGGAGGAAGGUGGGGAUGACGUCAAAUCAUCAUGCCCCUUAUGACCUGGGCUACACACGUGCUACAAUGGUUGGUACAACGAGUUGCGAGUCGGUGACGGCGAGCUAAUCUCUUAAAGCCAAUCUCAGUUCGGAUUGUGGGCUGCAACUCGCCUACAUGAAGUCGGAAUCGCUAGUAAUCGCGGAUCAGCACGCCGCGGUGAAUACGUUCCCGGGCCUU